rnacentral:tRNA from 1 species
GCCUUCGUGGUGUAACGGUAGGACACUCGGCGAGUAUUCGAGACGUCCAGGUUCGAGUCCCGGCGAGGGCA